CCUAAAACCAAGAAAGACAUUCUAAGUAACAGUUCAUCUGACCACUAAGACCCGGCAACCAAAGCCGAUCAACGGACCAAGUUACCCUAGGGAUAACAGCGCAAUCCCCUUUAAGAGUCCAUAUCGACAAGGGGGUUUACGACCUCGAUGUUGGAUCAGGACAUCCUAAUGGUGCAGCCGCUAUUAAGGGUUCGUUUGUUCAACGAUUAAAGU
rnacentral:rRNA from 1 species